rnacentral:lncRNA from 1 species
GACGAACUGCUGAACGCAAGAUUUAUGAGACCUGCAAAAGCUCCAUAUGGAGCUCCAGUCCUUUUCCAGAAGAAGAAGGAUGGAAGUAUGCGGUUGUGCAUCGACUACCGCGCCCUAAACAAGAUCACGGUCCGCAACAGAUAUCUGCGUGAUAGAACUAAGUCAUGCACAGCGGAAAAAGAAUCGAAUUUCUACCCUAAUUGCCACAAUUAACAUCUAACCAUAAACUAAUCAAAUUAGGGUUUUAAGAAGUAUUACCUUUGAAGCUUUCAAAAGGUUUGAUGUCUUCUUACCAAUUCUACCCGAGACCACCACUAGUACUCAACUGCUAUCCUCUAGACAAAGAACCGGGUUGUGGGACCCAAUUUUGGUGUAGAAAGUAAUGGAGAUAAAAUGAGAUUGGAAGCUUUCUUUUUUCUUUUGUUGAGAUUAUGAAAAUGAUAAAAGAGGCAAAAAGUCCUUCAACAUUUGAAAACAUCUCUAUUUAUAGCCUAAUUACAUGCAAAAAUGCAUGCAAUUCAAUUGCCAAAUCUCAACACCUAAUAUUCCACUAACAAUUAGUGGAACUUAGUGGGCUAGGUGUCUAUAUCUCAUAUAGCCACAUAUCCCACUAAGAGUUAGUGGGAUUAUCCAACAAAAUGUUGGAUUUUCCCACUAACUUAGUCCAAGGGUAAAAUGGUCAUUAGAUUUUUCUAGUCAAAAGUCAAACUUUGACUUUUCUAAGUCAAAAGUCAAUAUUUUGACUUUUUACCAUUUUGUCCGUCUUGACUAAUUCCAACCUCCCGAGCAUGAAUCCGCAUUCAUUUUUCCAAAAUUCAAAUCACAUUUGAAUAUAAGGCCGGUCAAAGUUUGACUUUUCAAAGUCAAAAGUCAACAUUUUGACUUUUUACUAUUUUUGACCAAUUCCGAGCUUCUUAGUAUGAAUCCGCAUUCAUACUUAUAGUAUGUAAAACAUAAAGCUCUAUUUCUAAUUAGAAGACCGACGAUUAUAUCACUGUAUAUGUCGGUUUUCCUUUCUUCUCCCUAUUCGAACAAUUCGACUUAUUUCAUCACACUGUUCUAAGUUUAAUCCAUAUGAGCUAGCAGAGGAACCUAAUGGACCUAUAGAUCAUGGGCUCCAACGAUUCAAGAUUAACUAGCUAAACUCUUUUAAACCGAGUUAAUCAACAUUCGUUAACUAACGGGUCAUUCCACUAAAGUCCCGUAGUUGCACUCCCCUCACUAUAGAUAUAUUUGUGUCCAUUUGAUAAAACCAUAAUCAGUAAGUUAAUCCUUCACAGGUUGCUCGUAACCUUGGCUGGGUCAAAAUACCGUUUUACCCCCAAGAUUACAUCUUGCUCCUUAAGUCCCACUAAUCCACUAUUGAACAAUUGGUUUAAGGUUCAACCUAUAAACUUAAUCCCUCUCGGGCCAAUGAGAGGGUGGGGCCCCUUGUUCAAGACUUGGAUUCAGUGCUUAAGAGAGCAACCUAUCUACUAACCCUAAAGCGGGUAGGAGUGAAUUCCAUCUUGUACCCUAUGUUCCCAGCUAUCCACCCGAUCUUACCCCUGAAAUGGGAGGCUUAUUGGGCCAACGCUGAUGAGCUGCCCUCACCUAUGCAGAUCUAAGGAUAAUCUCGUAUGAACAGGAGUUCAUAGUUAACUCAGGAUUAAGACUAAGUUACCUAGGUCAUCAAUAAUUGAGAUAGUCAGUUUUAAACAGUAAACGGUGUUAUAACGUAAAAAUGACUAAUUCAUGGUUCAGUCUUAUGUAAACAUUUUACAUAGGAUGCCCCCACUUUCAUGUCUCUACAUGAACGAUUAGGAUCACAUCGUUUGUACUACAAAGUGGGCCGCAUCCAUAGUCUCUCAAAAUAAGGCGCCCAACCUUUAUUUCAUAUACUAUAGACUAUUUAGGCUAUAUACUCGAACUUGAUCCACGUUUAUGUUUACACAUAAAGUUCAAGUUUAUUCAAAAAAUAGCCUUGGAACUUUGAUUUAUUGGAUUUAAGAUUAUAAUAUUUAAUUUCUCAAUAACAACUUUAUUGAAUAGAAUAUGAUUUACAAACUACGAGUUUUAGGACAAAAAAUUCCAACAAACUCCCACUUGGACUAAAAUUCCUAGUGGUAUGAGAGAUGUGGUGUGAGAGAAUAUAUAUGAAACUAGGGCACAUGGCCAAUAAGUCUCCCACUUGUCCUAGUUUACAAACAUCGUACACCUAAACUGUGUAGGUGACCCUCAAACACUUUAGCCAUGAGGGCUUUUGUAAAAUGAUCAGCUUCCAUUGUGGAAUCAGCUAUACAAGUUUGCUUUAUGCUUCUCCAAACUACUGCUCCUCCAUUUAGAGUAAAUACUGAUUCUGAUGUAGACUUUCUAACAUCUUUAUCAGUUUGGAAAUCUGAAUCAGUGUAUCCAGUAAGGAUCAGAUCCUUUGUACGAUACAUGAGCAUGUAGAAUGUUUUUAACGGCUGUCCAGUGAUCACGUCCAUGAUUGGAUUGAUACCUACUGACCAUCCCUACUGAGUAGCAAAUGUCAGGUCUAGUACAUAACAUUGCAUACAUUAAACUUCCAACAGCGGAAGCAUAGGGAAUAUUUCUCAUAUCCUCAACUUCUUGAGGUGUCUUAGGACAUUGUUCCUUUGACAAAUGAAUUCCAUAUCUGUACGGCAGCAGACCCUUUUUGGAAUUCUGCAUUUUAUAUCUAGACAACAUUUUGUCUAUGUAAGAUGCUUGAGACAUGGCUAGUGUUUUGUUCUUACGGUUUCGAACAAUUUGGAUUCCGAGAACGUAUUGUGCAUCUCCCAGAUCUUUCAUUUGAAAUUGCAUAGCUAGCCAUUUCUUGAUAUCAGGAAGAUAUCCUAGUCAUUUCCAAUAAGUAGAAUAUCAUCUACAUAUAAGACUAAAAAAUGCUAUAAUGGAAUUGACGACCUUUUGUAAACACAAGGCUCGUCAACAUUUUGUUCAAAGCCAUAAGAUUUUGAUCGCAAUAUCAAAUCUUAUAUUCCAGGAUCUAGAAGCUUGUUUUAAUCCAUAAAUGGAUUUUUUAAGCUUACAAACCUUUUGUUCUUGAUCUUGUUUUAUAAACCCCUCUGGUUGAGACAUAUAGAUGCUCUCUUCAAGAUUACCGUUCAAAAAAGCUGUCUUGACAUCCAUCUGCCAAAUUUCAUAAUCAUAAAAAGUGGCGAUGGAUAAGAGUAUUCUAAUUGACUUUAACAUGGCAACGGGAGAGAAAGUUUCCUCUAGUCUACUCCCUCUCUCUAGGUAUAACCCUUUGCCACAAGUCGAGCCUUAAAAGUCUGUACUUUACCGGCAUGGUCUCGUUUUCUCUUGUAGAUCCAUUUACAACCAAUAGGUUUUACGUCAUUUGGUUGAUCUACUAGAGUCUAGAAAGAAUUAAAGUACAUAGACUCCAUUUCGAGGUCCAUGGCUUUGAUCCAUUGGUCACGAUCUACAUCUUUCAUUGCCUGUUUAUAGGUUAAUGGAUCCUCUAUGCCAUCGUCAGGUAUGACGACUUGAGUUUCAAUUAAACCCAAAUAGCGAUCAGGCUGAUGAACAACCCUCCCACUACGUCGAGGCUCUCUCAACUGUUGAGAAGGAUGUGAUUGACCAGAUUUCCUAGUCUUAUCAACUACUUUAGUGGAUGAACUAGGUUUUAUCUAUAGCACUUUUGGAAAUUUCUUUAAAUACUAGUUUACUACGAGGUUGAUGAUCCCUGAUGUGGUAUUUUAUUUUCUUGAGGAUCAUAAAACAAACCACCUCUUGAUUCUUUUGGAUAACCUAUAAAAAAGCAUAAUUUUGAACGAUGUUCCAAUUUCUUUGGAUUUUGUACCAACACAUGUGCUGGACAACCCCAAAUUUUAAAAUGACGUAAACUGCCUUUACGCCCUUUCCAUAGCUCAUAAGGUGUUUCUGAAACACUUUUAGAGGGAACAUUAUUCAAAAUAUAAGCAGCUGUUUCUAAAGCAUAUCCCCAAAAAGAAUCUGACAUCUGAGAAAAACUCAUCAUAGAGCGAACCAUGUCUAACAAGGUCCAGUUUCUUCUUUCUGAUACACCGUUCUGUUGAGGUGUACUAGGUGCAGAGAGUUGUGACUGGAUUCCAUUUUCUAUUAAAUAGUCUCGGAAUCGUAAGUCCAUAUACUCUCCACCUCGAUCUGAUCGAAGUAUUUUUAUUGUUUUACCUAAUUCGUUUUCUACUUCAGCCUUAUAUUCUUUGAACUUUUCAAGACUAUUAGACUUAUGAUGUAUUAGGUAAAUAUGACCAUACCUUGAAUAAUCAUCAAUGAAGCUAAUGAAAUAUUCAUAUCCACCUCGAGUUUUGACAUUCAUUGGUCCACAAAGGUCCGAAUGUACGAGCUCUAAGGGUCCUUUGGCUCUUAGACCUUUUCCAGUAAAAGAUCUCUUGGUCAUUUUUCCUUCAAGACAAGAUUCACAAGGAGGUAAAGAGUUAUCUUCUAACGGACUUAGAAGCCCACUUUUAACCAAUCUCCCAAUCCUAUUGAGAUUUAUGUGACCAAGUCUUAAGUGCCAUAAAUAGGCAUUAGAAGAAACUUUUUGUCUUUUAUUCUGAGUUUCAGCUGUUCUGAAUAUUUCAGUAUUUAAGACAAAAUUUGCUCUAGUUGGUCUUAACUUAUAUAAGUUGUCUUCAAGUAUAGCAGAACAAACUAGAAUACCUUUAUAGAAAACGAACGCUUCAUUAAUUUCAAAAGAUAUUCUAUACAUUUGUUCCAAAAUACAAGAGAUAGAUAUUAAAUUUCUUUUCAUUUGAGGUACAUAUAAGACAUUCUUAAGUAUGACAUAUCUAUCUCUAAAAAACAACUUUAAAUCUCCCACUGCUGAAGCUGAGACCAUCUCUCCUGUUCCAACCUUGAGAGUGAUCUCGCCUUCUGAAAGCUUUUUCCAAGAACUAUUUUCCUGAAAUGAGAAGCAAAUAUGGUUAGUGGCUCCUGAAUCUAGUAUCCAGGUAGAAUUUUCAUAUUCCACUAAACAUGUUUCUACAACUAGUAAAUCAUAUUUACCUUGUGUUUCCUUCUCUGCCUUUUUUUCUGCAAGGUAUUUUGGGCAGUUUCUUAACCAGUGCCCGUUUUGGCCACAAUGGUAACACUUACCUUUUUCUGCAGCUUUCUUACCCUUGUUCUGUUUGGGAGUCUUUCCCUUUCCCUUCUUUUUUAUUUGAGCAUUAGGUUUUGAGGGUCCAGCUUUGGUUUUAGAGGACGAUCCUCUUAUAAAUUUUCUUUUUGUGGUAGCAACAUUUGCUUCCACUUGUUUUCCUUUACCCAUAGUUAGGUUUUGGAAUCGCUGGAGUUCAUUCAGAAGGGUUGUCAAGUUAAAUUCUAUCUUGUUCAAAGACGCAUUCGUUUGGAAUGGAAUGAAGCUCUUCGGAAGAGACUCUAAGAUAAAACUAACUUGAUUAACCUCUUCGAUGGGACCACCAUUCACUUCAGCGAUGUUGAAGUGCAUCAUCAUGUCCAGAACAUGUUCUCUAACAGAGGUCCCUUCCUUCAUACGCUUAGUGUAAAUGUAUUUGACUGCCUCGUGUCUUAAGGACCAUUCUGGUUGCCCAAACAUUCCCCUUAAUGAAUCCAUAAUCUCUUUAGCCGUGGCUAAGGAUUCAUGUUUCUUUGCCAAUACAUCAGACAUGCUGGCAAGAAUGUAAACACGGGCUUUUUCAUUAGCUUUUAUCCAUCGAUCAUAUGCAUCCCGACUAGUUCGGUUAGCAUUAGAGGCAGGGUUUUGAGGACAUUCCUCAGUUAAGACAAAUCUUAAAUCGUCAACCACUAGUAUUGUGUUAAGAUUUGAUUUCCAAGCCGCAUAAUUAUCGCCAUUAAGUUUUUCGGAAGCUAAAAGUUGAACUAUUGAGCUAUUCAUGCUGAAAAACAAACAUAUUCUUUUUAGGAAAAAACUAUAAUCAUAAAAAAUAUCCAAUCUAAUUUAGCAAUUACUAAUAAUGUACCCUUUCAUUAUUUGUAUUUUGCAACAAUAUUUCAAAGGUUUAGAACAACCUUCUCCGAAGGGUAGUUGAUUAUUCCUCCUUUGAACCAAGACAAUCUUGACUAGAUGCUAUCUCAAGAAUAACUCUUUAUUCUUUAUAGCACUUAGUUAUCGCUACUUUAGUCAAGAAUAUACUAACAACUUAGUAAUUCUUGUAAGUGUUACCCACCAUUUUCAGAUUUUAUAGAUUAGAAUCAUUUAUGAAAACUAAUCUAAGAAAUCCUAUCCAGUUUUGGAGUUCGCGGUGUUCCGAAUCCUAUAAUACAACCCUCCGAAGGGAACGUCGCUCCAGGGCAGACAAGCAGGCAUAUUAUAGAAAUCUCACGGUGCGGCCUAAUGGAAGAGACCGUGGGAUGUGCUGUCACAAAUCCCUCACCCACUUACUAUGAACUACUUCCCCUAUUCACCUUGAUUUUGAUCCAUGCAAACACUCUCCGAAGGGAGGCCGCUCCUAUGCACGGCACAAAGCCCUGCAUGGACCUCACGGUGUGAACUCUUAGGGACACUAGAGCUAAAAUACAUUAUUUUUCUCUAGUUGAAGUGUUCUAAAAGGAAAAAAAUAGGGUAAUCCAAACUUCAAGAUUUAUAUUUAGGCUAACUUAAACAAAUCUUAAGUCUAGAUAAAACAUCCAAGUAUAACCAUUAUACAGGAUUUUAACCUAUGAUGUCUAGGUGAAAAACCAUUUUUAUUACCUCACACCUCUCACGAAUGCUCAUAAAACUAGGUUAACUAGGCUCAAGAACUGAUUACGAUCUCCAGGUAGGAGGUGUUCCGUAAACCGUCAACUUAAGAACCUCCAACCUUAGUCAUCUUAUCUGACUUGUUGACAAGAUUGAACCAGGUGAGCCUUUUGUAACCAGUUUUACAAGAUAUCGACCUAUUUCUAUGAAAAAUGGAAGAUAUGUUUAACCUAAGUGAGCAUGCAUUUAAUCUUUGUUAUUGAUUUUAAAAGUCUAAUUUAUUUUAUAACACUUAUAAAAAAAACUUCUAGACUUAAUCAAUCAUUUUAUCAAUAUAUAAUCUUAUAAAAACAAUCAAUUAAUAUGGAUUUUAAUUUAUUUAACUUUAAUUAAAUCAUAUUUAAUUAAAUUAAAUCAAACAAUAAUUAAUUAAUUUGAUUAAAUCAUAUUUAAUCAAGAAUAACUUAAUUAAUUAAAUAAUUAAUUAAUCAUAUUAAUUAAUUUCCAUAUUAAUCAAUUAACAUGCAUACAAUACAAUAUAACCUUUAUAUCAUACAUUUUAAUGCAUGAACAUGUUAACCUAUGGUGGGAUUUUAAAUCUAUAUGACAUUCAAAAUGCACAUACAAAUUUAAAGUAAUUUAAUCAUACAUCACAUGCAUAAAUAAAAAAAAACACCCUAAAAUGGACUGAUUUUUGGCUCCUAAAUUAAGCUAAGUGCUAAAUUAUUACAUAAUUAAUUUGGUGUAGUACAGAACCACUCCCAAAAAUUUCGAACCGGCUAAAAAACCAACCGAAACCGCUUGAACCGGCCCAAAAACCAAAUUUAUUGGCUUGAACCGGCCCAGGCGCACACGGGUCGUGCGAAGGCAGGCGCGCGGGCGAAGGCGGGCGCGCGGGCGCAUGCGGGCGCGCGGGCGCAUGCGGGCGCGGCGCGCGCAGGCGGGCGCACGGGCGCAUGCAGGAGCGCGGCCGCAGGAAGGCGCGCGGGCGCAGGAGGGCGCGCGCGGGCGCAGGAGGGCGUGCGGCGCGCGCGGGCGCGUGCGGGCGCAGGAGGGCGCGCGGGCAUGCGGGCGCGUGCGGGUCGCGAAGCGGGUCAAAACCGGGUUUUCGGGUCUGUGACCUUCUUUUCUUCAUUUUUUUUCAAUUCUCUCACCCGGUUGAACCAAUUACAGCCUAGCUUCAACUCUAAUGACUUUUUUUAUUUUUUUAAAAAAUUACAAACACUUUGCAACAAUAAAAAUAAGCCAUUAACAAGGCUAAUUACAAUAAUUAGAACAAAAACACUUAAUCUAGAGCCAAAAUCAUAAUAUAUCCAUUUUAGUUCAAACCAAAAUUUAUCUAAUAAAUAUGAACCCACCACAUGCAAUUGGGUAAAAAUGAAGCAUGCUCUGAUACCACAUGAUAGAACUAAGUCAUGCACAGCGGAAAAAGAAUCGAAUUUCUACCCUAAUUGCCACAAUUAACAUGUAACCAUAAACUAAUCAAAUUAGGGUUUUAAGAAGUAUUACCUUUGAAGCUUUCAAAAGGUUUGAUGUCUUCUUACCAAUUCUACCCGAGACCACCACUAGUACUCAACUGCUAUCCUCUAGACAAAGAACCGGGUUGUGGGACCCAAUUUUGGUGUAGAAAGUAAUGGAGAUAAAAUGAGAUUGGAAGCUUUCUUUUUUCUUUUGUUGAGAUUAUGAAAAUGAUAAAAGAGGCAAAAGUCCUUCAACAUUUGAAAACAUCUCUAUUUAUAGCCUAAUUACAUGCAAAAAUGCAUGCAAUUCAAUUGCCAAAUCUCAACACCUAAUAUUCCACUAACAAUUAGUGGAACUUAG